GGACAGAAGGGAGCUUGCUCCCGGAUGUUAGCGGCGGACGGGUGAGUAACACGUGGGUAACCUGCCUGUAAGACUGGGAUAACUCCGGGAAACCGGAGCUAAUACCGGAUAGUUCCUUGAACCGCAUGGUUCAAGGAUGAAAGACGGUUUCGGCUGUCACUUACAGAUGGACCCGCGGCGCAUUAGCUAGUUGGUGAGGUAACGGCUCACCAAGGCGACGAUGCGUAGCCGACCUGAGAGGGUGAUCGGCCACACUGGGACUGAGACACGGCCCAGACUCCUACGGGAGGCAGCAGUAGGGAAUCUUCCGCAAUGGACGAAAGUCUGACGGAGCAACGCCGCGUGAGUGAUGAAGGUUUUCGGAUCGUAAAGCUCUGUUGUUAGGGAAGAACAAGUGCAAGAGUAACUGCUUGCACCUUGACGGUACCUAACCAGAAAGCCACGGCUAACUACGUGCCAGCAGCCGCGGUAAUACGUAGGUGGCAAGCGUUGUCCGGAAUUAUUGGGCGUAAAGGGCUCGCAGGCGGUUUCUUAAGUCUGAUGUGAAAGCCCCCGGCUCAACCGGGGAGGGUCAUUGGAAACUGGGAAACUUGAGUGCAGAAGAGGAGAGUGGAAUUCCACGUGUAGCGGUGAAAUGCGUAGNNNUGUGGAGGAACACCAGUGGCGAAGGCNNCUCUCUGGUCUGUAACUGACGCUGAG
rnacentral:rRNA from 1 species